UAAGGAAUAUUGGUCAAUGGACGCAAGUCUGAACCAGCCAUGCCGCGUGGAGGAUUAAGGCCCUCUGGGUUGUAAACUCCUUUUAUCUGGGAAGAAAUGCAUUUUUUCUAAAGUGCUUGACGGUACCAGAGGAAUAAGCACCGGCUAACUCCGUGCCAGCAGCCGCGGUAAUACGGAGGGUGCAAGCGUUAUCCGGAUUCACUGGGUUUAAAGGGUGCGUAGGCGGGCAGGUAAGUCCGUGGUGAAAUCUCUGAGCUUAACUCAGAAACUGCCAUGGAUACUAUUUGUCUUGAAUAUUGUGGAGGUAAGCGGAAUAUGUCAUGUAGCGGUGAAAUGCUUAGAUAUGACAUAGAACACCAAUUGCGAAGGCAGCUUACUACACAGUUAUUGACGCUGAGGCACGAAAGCGUGGGGAUCAAAC
rnacentral:rRNA from 1 species